UGUCAUAUAGGUGGCCUGACAUAGAUGUCAUUUUGUCUUGCAUGUGUCCUGUAAAAUAUGAUCAACUUCAGCUGCACUGAUCAAUUCUUUGCUGUUUGCGUGUAUUAUGUUCUCAUAGUUGUCACAGGUCAGAGCAGGCCAGAUGGGUGAGUGAGUGCUUGCAGGCCAUUAGGGCUGUGCCCUCUGCUCCUUGAGGAGCCAGGCCACAGGCUGCUGACAUUUGGGUGAGACAGUGGUGAUGUGGCAGGAGCUUGCUGGGGCAAGGAGGCCCAGGGCUGAAGCAGGGCCACAGCCUGGGACUGGAGCUGAGAGGAGGCUCAUGGGCAUGCAGGAGACUCCUGCCCUGGAAUCUCCUGUGUAUUGCUACUUUUCCUGUCCUUCAAAGUUCCUGUCCUAGUGGAAAUUACUUCAGUCCUGUCACAACGCAAGUCCUUCUGUAGGCUGUGUCAUCAUGGCAGUGGGGCCACACAAGGAUCUCAGUGACAGGAGAAAGUUACUGCCAAGUAACGUGAUUUCUACUGAGGAAUUGUGCCACAAGGACUAAAUGUCUCAAUGAACAUGCAAGUGUGAAGAGUCUGUGCAAGACGGUCUCUCACGACAACAAGGCCACCUUCUACUGUGAGAAGAUUUUGCUUGGGAAAGCAUUUAUUUUGAAGUCAAAUUACUAAAGGUCUAUGUAAGUUAGAAUAUUCAAUGCAUUAUAUUAACAACUGACAAGUUAUAUUCAAAUUUCAUUUAAUGCGUGGAAAAUUAUUUUGCGUUAAUUCCAGUAUUUAGUGGCAAGCCUGAUUAGUUUACAGAUUUCUUCCAUAGCUUUAUAAGGACAUGGUCAACCACCUACAGUCUCGUUUAUUUGUUUAUUGCCAACUGUUUUUUUCUGUCUGAUAAAUCUUUUUACAAAUAUUUAUGUGGUGACACCUAGUGGCCUUAAAUAAAAUGCUUCUUGUUGAUA